rnacentral:rRNA from 1 species
UACGAAGGGGGCUAGCGUUGCUCGGAAUCACUGGGCGUAAAGCGCACGUAGGCGGCUUUUUAAGUCAGAGGUGAAAUCCUGGAGCUCAACUCCAGAACUGCCUUUGAUACUGGAGAGCUUGAGUCCGGGAGAGGUGAGUGGAACUGCGAGUGUAGAGGUGAAAUUCGUAGAUAUUCGCAAGAACACCAGUGGCGAAGGCGGCUCACUGGCCCGGUACUGACGCUGAGGUGCGAAAGCGUGGGGAGCAAACAGGAUUA